rnacentral:lncRNA from 1 species
CCUUGUUUGGAAUAUAAUAAUCGUCUCAUAAUCAAAAUCCUCUUGUUAUCUACAUUGCUUGUUGUUUUUUCUGUAGAACCAAAUCGAACGGAAAACCACGCAUGCGAGGCGUAAUGAUAAUAUGAUUCAACAACCUCUGAAUAGGAGGUAAAUACUUGACUAAUAAAUGGCGGUAAAAUAGCAUUAGCAGAGUGCGAAGAAGCAUUGACAGUGGUGUUGGAUCUGGAUCAGAGGCUUGAGGGGGGGUAAUAGCCUCUUUUCGUGAUUUCUCAGAAGAUGUGUGGAAUACUUGAGAAUACAAGUUAAACGCAAGGAUAUGUAUACAGGUUGUCUGUUCUUUAUAAGUUUACUGUAGUAUACAGAUACUGAGUCCACUUAUAAGAUUAUGACUUUUAUAUAACUGUAGUACAUGAAUACUAAAUUAUAUAGACACACGUGUAAAAGUAAAUGAACAAAUAUAUAUAUAUUCUAACUUGACAAAAAGCUUUUUAAGCUAACUGUAAUAUAUGAAUACUAAGUUCUCUUAUAAGUAAGUAAAUAAUAUAAGUUAAAAUAUAUAAGUAUACGUGACCAGAUGACUGGAUAUAUUUGUACUGAAAAUAACCUCAGUCAAUGACCAGAUAAUUGAAUGAGGUAUCUGCACGAAAAUAGUCAACCUCAAUCUAUGACCAAGUAGCUGGACGAGGGAUCUCUUUUUAGUUGUUUUUAUCUUGUUAAGAUUUUAAAAAUAGAAAAACUUAAAGAAAAAAGAGACACAGAGAUUUUUAUACUGGUUCACCCAAACAAGGGCUAAUCCAGUUCCGAUGAAACAAGGAGAUUACUAGCCUGAAGGUAAUGGCGAAACCUCUGCCAAGCUUUAAGGUUAAACGCUUGUGAACCACCUAAGAGUAUUCAGGAACUCUUGAAAACCUCUGCCAAGUUUUAAGGCUAAACGCUUGUGAACCCUCUAAGAGUAUUAAGGGACUCUUAAGAACCUCUGCCAAGCUCUAAGGCUAAACGCUUGUGAACCACCUAAGAGUAUUAAGGAACUCUUAAAAACCCUUGAACCUUUAAGGCAGAUUCGACCUAAGAGUUUUCCUGGAAACUCUAUAGAACCACACUGAGUUUUAUGGUUUGAACUCGUUGAACCUUACAAGUGUUGGUAUUGAGACACGCCUCUCACAACACUUGGACCACUUACAAGAUGUAGAGCUUUUCUUCUAGAAUACUCUCAAUGUACAAGAGGGGAAGAAGAAGUUGAAAAACUAGAGCACACAACCUUGAGAGCAACUCCCACACAAAGCUUGAACGAGAGCUAGAGCUUGAGCAAGAGCAAGAGAGAACGAAAGUAGAGCUUUGAUCCAAGGAGAGCUUUAGCAAAGAUGGCAAGUGAUGACUUUAUCUCUUGGGUAUGCACAUCCUUUUAUAGUGGACAUUGGUGGCAUGGAGGUAAU